CAAAUUUCCCCCAAUUUUUUCCAAAAUCACAACCCUAGGUUCCCCCUGCAACAAAACAACUGGAGAUCCCUAAAAUUGGCAUAGUCGUUGCUCGAAAUUGGGGUCUCCUUGCUGGCAAUUGGGGGCAUUUUGGCGAAUCUAUGUUUUGGUUCAAUUGAAAAAGUUGAAAAAGAUAUGGAAGUGAGAGAAGCAAGGUAGGCAAGGUAGGCUUCACGAUGUUAUUGUGGAAAUGUGGCAAGAAUUAUAACUUCUUGGACUGAUUCAAACUCAGGAAGACUAUUUCAAGUUUGUCCACUCUCAAAGGGAAGAGUUAACAAAGGAUGUGGUUUUUGGGAGUGGGUUGAUGAUGAAAUGUAUGAUCGUUCCAAGAUGGUGAUACCUUGCUGAGGAAAAUUGAUAGGUUGGAAGAGGAGAAUGCAAAGAUUUAUGGAUGUAAGAGGUGUUGUAAUGUGUUAAUGGAUGUAAUAUGGUUGUAUUUGGCAAUGUAAUAGGUGUUGUAAUAUGUUAAUUUUGCAAUGUAAUAGGUGUUGUAAUAUGUUAACUGUGUUUUGGUAUGAAUUGGAUAUGAAGUUUGCAA